rnacentral:tRNA from 1 species
GGAGGGGUGGCCGAGUGGUUGAAGGCGGCGGUCUCGAAAACCGCUAGGCGGGUCUUCCUGCCUCGUGGGUUCGAAUCCCACCCCCUCCGCCA